rnacentral:rRNA from 1 species
UACGUAGGGUGCAAGCGUUUGUCCGGAAUUAUUGGGCGUAAAGAGCUCGUAGGCGGUUCGUCGCGUCGGCUGUGAAAUCCCGAGGCUCAACCUCGGGUCUGCAGUCGAUACGGGCGGACUGGAGUUCGGCAGGGGAGACGUGGAAUUCCGUGGUGUAGCGGUGAAAUGCGCAGAUAUCAGGAGGAACACCGGUGGCGAAGGCGGGGUCUCUGGGCCGAUGACUGACGCUGGAGGAGCGAAAGCGUGGGGAGGCGAAUGGGA